rnacentral:rRNA from 1 species
CACAAGCGGUGGAGCAUGUUGGUUAAUUCGAAGCAACGCGAAGAACCUUACCAGGUCUUGACAUCCCGAUGCUAUUUCUAGAGAUAGAAAGUUACUUCGGUACAUCGGUGACAGGUGGUGCAUGGUUGUCGUCAGCUCGUGUCGUGAGAUGUUGGGUUAAGUCCCGCAACGAGCGCAACCCCUAUUGUUAGUUGCCAUCAUUCAGUUGGGCACUCUAGCGAGACUGCCGGUAAUAAACCGGAGGAAGGUGGGGAUGACGUCAAAUCAUCAUGCCCCUUAUGACCUGGGCUACACACGUGCUACAAUGGUUGGUACAACGAGUUGCGAGUCGGUGACGGCGAGCUAAUCUCUUAAAGCCAAUCUCAGUUCGGAUUGUAGGCUGCAACUCGCCUACAUGAAGGCGGAAUCGCUAGUAACCGCGAAUCAGCAGGUCGCGGUGAAUACGUUCCCGGGCCUU